CAGCGCCUGUCAGUCGCGCCCCUGGGAGUCCCAGCAGCCCAGCCCCCACCGGCCCGGCGCCCAGGUGUUCAGGGCCCCGGGCCCACCUGCAGCCGAGCCUUGGCCACGCCCCUCCCGCCCGGGGCGCGCGGGCCCGGCCGCCCCCGUGUGCCCACGAGGAGUAACUGCAGGCCCGUCGUUUCGAGCAUCUUUACAGGCACCGGUCGACGCGCGGAGGUCAGCGCCUCGCGGUCCUCGUGGAAGCUUGUCCCCCGUGCCGCAACACACCACAGCCCACCUGAAGACGCGGCUCCGGGCUCAGGACCCCAGGGUCCUCGGAGGGGUCCGCACUGGCUCAGCGCUGAGCGCAGCCCAGGGGCAACUGCCCUUCCGUCCACCCCCGUCCCUCUCCGGCCGUUUCCUCCAAACCACCAGCUGUCCCAGAGCCCUUCGAGGGCAGGACCGUGUCUCCGGGUGACAGGCUGCCUCCAUCCCUGGACUCCGAGAAGAGGAAACAGCAGUGAGGCUCCAGUUUUCCCAGGGGGAGCUCUCCUGUCCACUGUGGAGCCAUCAAGUCCCCAUCAGAGAGCAGUGGAGCGGUGUGCGUUUACCUGGGAAGGACAACAGUGUGCACCCGUGGUCUUGCCCAUGGGCAUUGAGCCAUCUUGCAGAGCAUCCUAUUUGUCUGCUACACUGAUGACAUCAGGAUAACUGGACCUGAGGAACAAGUAUCUGCUUCUCUCUCUCAGCGUGUCGGCCAUCCACGUCGCGGCGUGUCAGCGUCAGGGAUCCUCUCCGUCUGCAGCUGAGCCACGUCCCGCCGUCAGGACGGAGCACGGUUGUUAAACCACGUGUCUGUUGAGGAGCCCAUGGGCUGUCCCCGCUCUUCGGCGGGUGUGACAGCGAUACCAGGAAGAUUCCCCAACGCGGUUUUGUGAGAGUACAUGGUUUCACUUCCUCCGAGUCUGUCCCUAAGAGCAGGGUCGUGGGUCAUUGUACAGAAGGGACUUUCAAUGUCGAAACCAAACUGGGGUUUGGUUGGGUUGGCCGCCCUCCAGAUUACCUGACCUCCCAGCGGCCUGCACCUGCUCUUCUCUCCUCCGGGACGCUGCCUCCACUUUCCUCCUGCUCCUCGUCCGCGCCUCCGCGGGGCCCUCUGCCAGAGCCCCUCGCUGCCACCCCGUCACUGAUGGCGUUCUUGGAUCCUGACUCGGGCCUUCUCGCCCUCCGUGUACACUCUCUCCUGGGUCAUCUCCUCCCUCCAGGGGCUUCAGAUCACCUGCACAGUGAGGACGCCCAGGGCUGCACCUUCAGGAGAAAGCCUGAAUUCCUUGCUGGACUCCCAUCCCCGUCCUCCCAUGCUCGCCAUUCCGACUCACUCUCCAGUCCUACCCUCUCUGACUGCAUCCCUUGCCCUCGCCUUCUGCAAAAUUCCUCACUACCCUUCCAGCACCCGCCUCGAUGUCACCUCCUCCAGGAAGACUGCCCUGAUCUAUGAGGGAGUGGUGGGCCUUUCCUCCGUCCCCCUGGUUGUUUGACUCACUGCAUGGCAAGCCCCCCUCUGCUGAGCAGCCUCCCCCCGGACUGUCGGCUCUGGGGCGGCAGGGAUGGCUCUUCAUUCGUCACCACUUGUACCCCAGUUCCGAGCUGGGCACCCAGCAUGAACACACGCUUGGUGAGCAUCUGUUGUCUUGAAGGGAACAGAGAAUAAAUGUGAAGUUGGAUGCCCCUCAGGGGUUUGAGCUCAUUACCUGGAGAAGGCACACCUGGGGGAGUCAGCAUUGCAGCCUGCCAGGUAGGCGCCAGCAGGCAGGGCCGGGAAGGUGGCACAUGUGGCUGCCGGCCCCUGGGAGAGGCCUUAGUGGACAAGCCCCUGGUGCCAGGAAAGACAGCGGGGCUGGUCCUGUGGCAGAGAGUCCGAGCAUGGCUGAGCUGCCCUCUGGCCUCAGGGCUCUAGGCAGCAGGUCUGGCCUCUCUGAGACUGUCCCCCUCCUUGGGGGGACCAAGAUCUGGCUCAGCUGAGGAGACACACACCCUUGGUCCUGAGCCUCCCUGGGACCUGGAGUCCAGGAUGUGGAGACACAGGAAACCAGAAGGGGACACGUCACAACGGCCUUGGAGCAUGUUGGCGUCCACUCAGACCAUGGCAGAGGUCCACAGACGGUUCUUAGGGUUCAAGGAGCCGGCGUUAAGUACCACUGAAGUAUAGAGUGAGGGAGGCAUUUCUGUUUCUCGUAGUCUUUCUGAAUAAAACAAAGAGAAAGGCUCCCCUUUGGGCCGCUGUGGUUACUCUAACGCCUCUCCAAGUCUGGGUAUCCUUUCCCCGCCAUGACCGC
ensembl:lncRNA